rnacentral:rRNA from 1 species
UACGUAGGGGGCAAGCGUUGUCCGGAUUUAUUGGGCGUAAAGAGCUCGUAGGCGGUUUGGUAAGUCUGGUGUGAAAUCUCCACGCUCAACGUGGAGGGGCCACCCGAUACUGCCAUGACUGGAGUCCGGUAGAGGAGUGUGGAAUUCCCGGUGUAGCGGUGAAAUGCGCAGAUAUCGGGAGGAACACCCGUAGCGAAGGCGGCCUGCUGGGCUGUUGCUGACGCUGAGGCGCGACAGCGUGGGGAGCAAACAGG